rnacentral:misc_RNA from 1 species
GAUGAAGAACGCAGUGAAAUGCGAUACGUAAUGUGAAUUGCAGAAUUCAGUGAAUCAUCGAGUCUUUGAACGCACAUUGCGCCCCCUGGUAUUCCGGGGGGCAUGCCUGUCCGAGCGUCAUUGCUGCCCUCAAGCACGGCUUGUGUGUUGGGCCUCCGUCCUCCUCCCGGGGGACGGGCCCGAAAGGCAGCGGCGGCACCGCGUCCGGUCCUCGAGCGUAUGGGGCUUCGUCACCCGCUCUUGUAGGCCCGGCCGGCGCUUGCCGACACAUCAAUCUUUUUUCCAGGUUGACCUCGGAUCAGGUAGGGAUACCCGCUGAACUUAAGCAUAUCGAUAAGCGGAGGA